rnacentral:piRNA from 1 species
UGAGAGAAGCCUGUGUUUAUUGUUCACAUUUU